GACGAACGCUGGCGGCGUGCCUAAUACAUGCAAGUCGAACGCGUUUUCUUUCACCGUAGCUUGCUACACCGAAAGAAAAUGAGUGGCGAACGGGUGAGUAACACGUGGGUAACCUGCCCAUCAGCGGGGGAUAACACUUGGAAACAGGUGCUAAUACCGCAUAAUUCCAUUUACCGCAUGGUAGAUGGAUGAAAGGCGCUUUUGCGUCACUGAUGGAUGGACCCGCGGUGCAUUAGCUAGUUGGUGGGGUAACGGCCUACCAAGGCUGCGAUGCAUAGCCGACCUGAGAGGGUGAUCGGCCACACUGGGACUGAGACACGGCCCAGACUCCUACGGGAGGCAGCAGUAGGGAAUCUUCGGCAAUGGACACAAGUCUGACCGAGCAACGCCGCGUGAGUGAUGAAGGUUUUCGGAUCGUAAAACUCUGUUGUUAGAGAAGAACAAGGAUGAGAGUGGAAAGUUCAUCCCUUGACGGUAUCUAACCAGAAAGCCACGGCUAACUACGUG
rnacentral:rRNA from 1 species